AUGACACAAAUGACUUACCUGGCCCUACAUUUUCUCCUCACCAAAGCUGAUCUCUCUUUCCAGGGACCACUUGGCCUCCAAGGCCCCACGGGAGCCCGAGGUGUCCGAGGUUUCCAGGGGCCCAAAGGUGCCAGUGGUGAGCCUGGCCUUCCUGGCCCGACUGGGAUCCGUGGAGAGACAGGUGACAGGGUAAGGACACGAACCUGGGACUAAUUCCUGCUUGGGAUGGGAAUUUAGAGGAUACUGAGGGCCCAAAACCUGGUGUAGCUGGUGUGUGUUGGGUGUCCCAGGCCCUCCCCUCAGGGCAGGGAGCAGGACUGCUCCAUCCUGGCCUCUCUGUUCCUGGUUUCACUUCAGAAACUCCCACUGUUUUCAGACAGGGUGCAUUGUUUAAAAGCAACUUCCAGGUCUUAUCCUAGCCAGAACAGAGAACAUUUUUCCCUGUUCCUUACACUGAUUCCACUAAAGUCUCGCUCCCCAGGAGCACAAGAAAGCUGAUUCAUGAAUUUUUGUUACUCAGAUGCUUGAUUAGACUUUCUGGGUUUUUUUUUUUAAAUUACAGUUUUAUCAGUGACUUUUCUUUCUGAACAGCAAAACACCUGGGCAUCCCACCUCACAGUAAAUGUGACUUUUUAUUUAAAUGAGUUCAUUCUCAUUUGAAAGAAGCAAACAGGGCCAAGUGAACAGCAUUUGUUGGGAGCUUGCAGGAGAACAGGAGCCAUGUGUUCACCAGCUCCCUCCUCCCCACUUUAAGGUGAAAGAUUUUUUUAAAAAAAAAAGCUUUAAGUUGCUUUCUGUGUAAGCAACUGCAGCAGCACCACAGGGGUUCCACAAUGGCCCUUCUGUGCUGGCUCCUGGCAGGUUUAAAAAAGCCUUUUGGAGUGAUGUGAGCUGGAAGUGUGAAACAGGAGCGUUAUUGUGGAGCUGUGGGGCUCCUGACUGCAUUCAGGGCUUUGCUGUGGUGAAAAAUAUACAUUCAGGAGGGAAGAGGCCCCUGCAUGAGGCGCCCAGGGAGCUGCUCCAAGCAGAGGGAGGGAAAACGUUGUGCUUAAAGCAAUGAAAAUUAAUCUAGGUUGUAUUUCUGGCUCUGAAGUUCAGUGUGGAAUACUCUAAGAUGUGAUUGUUGGUUGCUCAGAAGGAGAGGAAAUGGCCUCAAGCUGCACCAGGGCAGGUUUAGAUUAGAUAUUAGGAUUUUUUUUUCACAAAGAGGGUUGUAAAGCACUGGAACAGGCUGCCCAUGGAAGUGGUGGAGUCCUCAUCCCUGGAAGUGUUCCAGCCAGGCGUGGAUGUGGCCCUUGAGGACAUGGUUUAGUGGUGACCAUGGUGGUGGUUGACCCUAAACCCUCAGAUUGUGUUUUUAUAGCCUAAACAAACUGCUGGGGGUGGUGGCAGCUGCUGGGGACACACAAAGAGCUCAGAGAUCUGCCCUGGCCUUGCUUUGCUGCUGGUCCUGAUGUGGAUAAAGAGAACUGCACACUCAGGAUCGAUGCAAUUACCUCGUCCCAGCUGCAGCCAACUCAUCAAACUCUCCUGAAAUCAAUUGAGACUUUUCUGUGAAAAAAGAAAAAUCCCCUCAUGCCUGAGCUGAGUACUGACAGGCUUUUUCACAGUCCUUGGGCUGACUGUGGUCAGGAAUAUAAACCAGCAUUUCAGUAAAUGUGUCUGCUGGCAUGAAAAACACGAGUGGUUUAGAGCAUUUGACUGUAAGGUAUAAAAUAGCAUUGAGAUAAAAUUCAUCAACCAUCUUGCUGGAGCAGGAUAUGGGGAGGGGAAGGGUUUGGCUGAUGUUGCUGACUGAGGCAGCAAUAGACAAAUAUUUUUCCUAAGGAUUUUUAUUAUGAUCAAAUUCCUGAGGAUCCUGGAUUCCAGCAGCCACCUGGGGCACUGCCUGUCUGGGCUCCCUACUGGAGCACUAAAUGCCUGGCCAAAGCCAGUUUUGGGUUUGUUUGUUUGGAGUUUUGUUUAACUGAUGAGAUGAAACAUGUGAAGCCAUGGGGCUGGCAGUCCUGAGCUCGUUGUUCCUGCUGCUAGGAAUUAUCACUGCAGUCAAUUUGGGUUUUGAAUGAAAAUCCUCUGGGCUAAGCUUGUCUUUAAUGAAAUGUCCCUUGCAGGACUUGGUGUUUGGUGGCUGAACUGUGUUUUAUUGCCUUAAAUGUUCAUGGAGCCUUGAGACCCUGUGAAGUCAGAGAUACAAAUUUAGAUGAAAAUGUUGAGAAAGGAAUAUAUUAUUUUUGCUAUCAGCAACUAUAAAACAGGUGAUAUAAACAGUUUUAGCCACUCUUCCAUUUCUACAUUCCAUUGUCUGUUUUUCUGAGUUAUUUUUCAUUAAUAGAAAUCCCCUCUCUUUUUAACUUAGUGUUUGAAUUGAGCAAAAUAAAAUGUCCUUGUUGUGUGUGUUUGUCCUCCUU
ensembl:lncRNA